rnacentral:rRNA from 1 species
UACGAAGGGGGCUAGCGUUGCUCGGAAUCACUGGGCGUAAAGCGCACGUAGGCGGCUUCUUAAGUCAGGGGUGAAAUCCUGGAGCUCAACUCCAGAACUGCCCUUGAUACUGAGGAGCUCGAGUCCGGAAGAGGUGAGUGGAACUGCGAGUGUAGAGGUGAAAUUCGUAGAUAUUCGCAAGAACACCAGUGGCGAAGGCGGCUCACUGGUCCGGUACUGACGCUGAGGUGCGAAAGCGUGGGGAGCGAACAGG